rnacentral:rRNA from 1 species
GACGAACGCUGGGGGGGGCUUAACACAAUCAAAUCGGAAGGGAAAGGCCUGGUUUUGUGGGGUGCUUGGGGGGGGAAAGGGGGAAGAAAAAGGUAGUUACCUGCCCUUGGCUUUGGGGUAAAUUCAGGAAAACGGGGGCAAUAACGGGUAAGGGGUUCUGCUGGCAGGGGGGGGGUGGGAAAGUUCGGCGGUUGGGGAUGGACUCGCGGCUUAUCAGCUUGUUGGUGGGGUAGUGGCUUACCAAGGCUUUGACGGGUAGCCGGCCUGAGAGGGUGACCGGCCACAUUGGGACUGAGAUACGGCCCAGACUCCUACGGGAGGCAGCAGUGGGGAAUAUUGCACAAUGGGCGGAAGCCUGAUGCAGCAACGCCGCGUGCGGGAUGACGGCCUUCGGGUUGUAAACCGCUUUCGCCUGUGACGAAGCGUGAGUGACGGUAAUGGGUAAAGAAGCACCGGCUAACUACGUG